AAACUUUAUGAAUAUAAACUUGUUUUCUUUGCAUUAUUUGAGGUCUGAAAGCUCUGCAUCUUUUUUGUUAUUUCAGCCAUUUCUCAUUUUCUGCAAAUACAUGCUCAAAAUUACAAUAUUUUUAUUUGAAAUUUUGGAAAAAUGGUGUCUGUAGUUUAUAGAAUAAAACAAACAUGUUCAUUUUACUCAAACAUAAACCUAUAAAUAACAAAAUCAGAGAAACUGAUUCAGAAACUGAACAGAAACCACCUGUUCUCGUCUCUCAGGUAUCUCUGAGCUUAAGCGAUGUGAGAGAGGCGAGCGUUAAGCGCAGCCGGAUCUUUGCGCGAGCGUCUUUAGGACCAUCAUCCUACACCAGGGAUUCGGGCGAGGUGGAUUAACAGCGGAGGUACGAUGGGGUGCAACCGAGCACUUCUAGCAUCAUCAUACAAGCCUUGAAAUGAAGACACAAACUAUAUUUAACUCAAAACCCCCCCAACCCUCCCUCAGUUCCAGGACGAUGGGAAAAUGAGCAGGACUGCAGCCCAGGAUAGAGCCCAGCCUAAAAGCAACAACACACAACCACUCUCCGGUACUCUCCGUAGUCCGUUUGGUCUUCUUUAAAGCCGUCCAGCUGAAGUCUUAAGAUCUCCUCUCUCUCCGAGGCCACAGCAAUCUCCCAGACAGCUGUUGCUCCCUCGCACUGAGUGUCUUGUAUGAAAUCUGAGAUUAGAAGCAGGCUGCUGGACUCUACACUAUCAACACAUGCUCUCUUGGACUCCCAUCUACAGAUAGAAUGAAUCCACUGACAUCUGAUCUACAUCACUUGCAGGAAUGCUGUAUUUUAGUGCAGUAAAAAUAAAGUUAUUUCACUAUAUGUUUCAUAAAAACAAACAAAAAAAAUAUAUAAACAUUAUAUGAAUUGUUAUUAUUAUUAUAGUACAUAUCGGUUAUUAUAUUUUUUACAGAUUAUUUUCAUGGCAUCUAUCAUUCAUAGCUGUCAUCCCUCCUGGACCUAUUUCUCCUACUGACACUCUAGACUACAUUACCCAGAAUACCACUCCCUCUCAGAACACAGUCACUCCUCUUGCUCCUCUUCAGCUAACCCUAAACAGUACUGAUGCUCAUUGUCCCCUGAGUUCUGAUCAUCUGCACCUGUGACUAUUUAGUGAUUCCCCUCACCCGUGCCUGAUUGUCUCUGUGUGUAUAUUUAAAUCGGUUUGUUUACACUUGGGUUUUGCGAGGUAUUGCUGAAACCUUUGUGUAGGCA